UACGUAGGGUGCAAGCGUUGUCCGGAAUUACUGGGCGUAAAGAGCUUGUAGGCGGUUUGUCGCGUCUGCUGUGAAAAUCCGGGGCUCAACCCCGGACUUGCAGUGGGUACGGGCAGACUAGAGUGUGGUAGGGGAGACUGGAAUUCCUGGUGUAGCGGUGAAAUGCGCAGAUAUCAGGAGGAACACCGAUGGCGAAGGCAGGUCUCUGGGCCACUACUGACGCUGAGAAGCGAAAGCAUGGGGAGCGAACAGG
rnacentral:rRNA from 1 species